GGACGAAAUUCAAAUAAAAUGUGACACAUGUGUAUGUGUUUAUACAAAAAGGGACCAUUCCUAAUGCGCUCUUCUGCUCUGCAUUGUAAACGGAAGUUAAAGAAAGACUCAGAGCCUCCCCCACGAGCGCACAUGGCUACUAUUUUGAGAUUUUGACCAAAGCCUGCUUCCAAAACUGACAAAACUUGUAACCCCUAAUUUGACGGCCAAGAUCUUCUGACGAAGGUACAGAUCCUCAUGGAAAAAAAAAAAAAAAAAAAAAAAAAAACCGACGUGCAAGGAAAAUGCAAAUAUUCCAUAGCAGAGCAAAUCAAACAGUUAAUCACGCUGAGCUUAAGACAUGCCGCGAGUGUCUCACGGAGAAUUCUGCGGCGCCGUUGUAUAGAAUCCUCCCCCUUACCCACAAAACCCAGCCCCAACAGUGCGAUUACGUGAAUGUGGGUUUCGAUUUUCGCGCCAUUCCAUAGACUUAACGGUCAAAAAGCAGACCCAAGAAAAAAAGCGGGAAUUCCCAUAAAUCCGAAAUUUAAAUUAUUCAAAAAGAAAAAAGAUAUUUUGUUCCGACGGGACAGAGACUGAUUCGACGACGUCGUACUGGACUGUCAUCGACGUGUCACCAUUCCCUUCCAGCGACUAAACCGGCCUUUCUCGCUUCGAAAGGCCAACGGGACCCACCUUUGCACAAUAUCGAUAUGGAUAUUACGGUGGAAUUUUCUCUUCCCCGUGAUAAUUUGUGGACCCCUACACCACCCCACCUCUUUCCGACUUGGCGGGAAACGCGGCCAUCUUCCCGCCACUGCACUUGAAUGAAGCGGUGCGUUUCUAGUGUUUAACCGCCACACCUGUCACUUUCAUAACCGACGC
rnacentral:lncRNA from 1 species